rnacentral:rRNA from 1 species
UACAGAGGUCUCAAGCGUUGUUCGGAUUCAUUGGGCGUAAAGGGUGCGUAGGCGGCGCGGUAAGUCGGGUGUGAAAUCUCGGAGCUUAACUCCGAAACUGCAUUUGAUACUGGCGUGCUUGAGGACUGGAGAGGAGACUGGAAUUUACGGUGUAGCAGUGAAAUGCGUAGAUAUCGUAAGGAAGACCAGUGGCGAAGGCGAGUCUCUGGACAGUUACUGACGCUGAGGCACGAAGGCCAGGGGAGCAAACGGG